GGUUGUGGCUUAGUGGUAGAGCGAUUGCCUAACAUGUAUGAGGCACUGAGUUUGAUUCUCGGCACCA
rnacentral:tRNA from 1 species